rnacentral:rRNA from 1 species
GUGGUUUAUCAAGUCUGCUGUCAAAGAGAGCGGCUUAACCGCAUAAGGGCAGUGGAAACUGAUGAACUAGAGUGCGAUAGGGGUAACAGGAAUUCCCAGUGUAGCGGUGAAAUGCGUAGAUAUUGGGAAGAACACCAGCGGCGAAAGCGUGUUACUGGGUCUGCACUGACACUGAGGGACGAAAGCUAGGGGAGCGAAAGGGAUUAGAUACCCCUGUAGUCCUAGCCGUAAACGAUGACAACUAGGCGUGGUUCGUAUCGACCCGAGCCGUGCCGUAGCCAACGCGUUAAGUUGUCCGCCUGGGGAGUACGCACGCAAGUGUGAAACUCAAAGGAAUUGACGGGGGCCCGCACAAGCGGUGGAGUAUGUGGUUUAAUUCGAUGCAACGCGAAGAACCUUACCAAGGCUUGACAUCCUCGGAACCCUGAUGAAAGUUAGGGGUGCCUUCGGGAGCCGAGAGACAGGUGGUGCAUGGCUGUCGUCAGCUCGUGUCGUGAGAUGUUGGGUUAAGUCCCGCAACGAGCGCAACCCACGUUUUUAGUUGCCAGCAUUCAGUUGGGCACUCUAGAGAGACUGCCGGUGACAAACCGGAGGAAGGUGUGGAUGACGUCAAGUCAGCAUGCCCCAUACGCCUUGGGCUACACACGUACUACAAUGCGUCGGACAAAGAGCAGCCAGCCAGCGAUGGUGAGCCAAUCUCAUAAACCGACGCUCAGUUCAGAUUGCAGGCUGCAACUCGCCUGCAUGAAGGCGGAAUCGCUAGUAAUCGCAGGUCAGCAUACUGCGGUGAAUACGUUCCCGGGCCUUGUACACACCCCUUCGUCACAGCCAUGGGAGUUGGUCACGCCCGAAGUCGUUACUCUAACUGCUGCAGAGGAGGA